GACGAACGCUGGCGGCGUGCUUAACACAUGCAAGUCGAACGAAGUGGCGAACGGGUGAGUAACGCGUAAUCAACCUGCCCUUCAGAGGGGGACAACAGUUGGAAACGACUGCUAAUACCGCAUACUGAAGGAGGGGAUUGCGUUUGAUUAGCUAGUUGGGGGGGUAACGGCCCACCAAGGCGAUGAUCAGUAGCCGGUCUGGGAGGAUGGACGGCCACAUUGGGACUGGGGCACCGCCCCGACUCCUACGGGGGGCAGCAGUGGGGAAUCUUCCGAAAUGGGGGAAAGUCUGACGGAACAACGGCGCGUGGGUGGUGACGGCCUUCGGGUUGGAAAACUCUGUUAAUCGGGGCGCGGUACCGGAAUAGAAAGCCACGGCUAACUACGUGCCAGCAGCCGCGGUAAUAC
rnacentral:rRNA from 1 species